GAUGAACGCUAGCGGCAGGCUUAAUACAUGCAAGUCGUGGGGCAGCAGGGGUGUAGCAAUACAUCUGCUGGCGACCGGCAAACGGGUGAGUAACACGUCCGCAACCCUCCCGUUACUGUGGCAUAGCCCAGGGAAACUUGGAUUAAUACCACAUAUUAUAUAGAGAGGGCAUCCUUUUUAUAUCAAAGCUUCGGCGGUAACGGAUGGGCGUGCGGUUGAUUAGGUAGUUGGCGGGGUAACGGCCCACCAAGCCUACGAUCAAUAGCUGAUGUGAGAGCAUAAUCAGCCACACGGGCACUGAGACACGGGCCCGACUCCUACGGGAGGCAGCAGUAAGGAAUAUUGGGCAAUGGACGAAAGUCUGACCCAGCCAUGCCGCGUGAAGGAUUAAGGUCCUCUGGAUUGUAAACUUCUUUUCUCUGGGGCGAAAACCAGCUAUUCUUAGCUAUUUGACAGUACCAGAGGAAUAAGCACCGGCUAACUCCGUGCCAGCAGCCGCGGUAACAC
rnacentral:rRNA from 1 species